GAUCCUGGCUCAGGACGAACGCUGGCGGCGCGCCUAACACAUGCAAGUCGAACGGAGCCAAGAGGAGCUUGCUUUUCUUGACUUAGUGGCGAACGGGUGAGUAACGCGUGAGUAACCUGCCCUGGAGUGGGGGACAACAGUUGGAAACGACUGCUAAUACCGCAUAAGCCCACGGAUCCGCAUGGAUCUGCGGGAAAAGGAUUUAUUCGCUUCAGGAUGGACUCGCGUCCAAUUAGCUAGUUGG
rnacentral:rRNA from 1 species